rnacentral:rRNA from 1 species
AGCCUGAACGCUGGCGGCGUGGCUAAGACAUGCAAGUCGAACGGUGUAGCAAUACACAGUGGCGAACGGGUGAGUAAUGUAUCGCUAACGUACCCUUCAGUCAGGGAUAGCCGGGGGAAACUCCGGGUAAUACCUGGUGAAAUUCUUUUCUCGCAUGGGAGAAGACUCAAAGGAGCAAUCCGCUGAGGGAGCGGGCGAUAUCGUAUCAGCUAGUUGGCGAGGUAACGGCUCACCAAGGCGACGACGCGUAGCCGGGCUGAGAGGUCGGCCGGCCACAUUGGGACUGAGACACUGCCCAGACUCCUACGGGGGGCUGCAGUAACGAAUCUUCCGCAAUGCACGCAAGUGUGACGGAGCGACGCCGCGUGUGGGACGAAGUCCUUCGGGAUGUAAACCACUGUCAGGGGUAAGAAAGUUCUGAUCUACCCCAGAGGAAGGCACGGCUAACUCUGCGCCAGCAGCCGCGGUAA